UAUAAUGUAUGAGUUAUCUCUUUUCUGUCCAUUGACUAUAGGGCUGUUGACAAUCAGGUAUAUGUGGCCACAGCCUCUCCUGCACGGGACGAUAAAGCCUCCUAUGUGGCCUGGGGACACAGCACCAUUGUGAACCCUUGGGGGGAGGUUCUAGCCAAAGCUGGCACUGAAGAAAUGAUCCUGUAUUCAGACAUAGAUCUGAACAAGUUGGCUGAAGUACGCCAGCAAAUUCCCAUUCUUAGACAGAAGCGAUCAGAUCUCUAUGCAGUGGAGAUGAAAAAGCCCUAAGGUUUAUGUUUCCAGUGUGCCACAAAACAGGAAGAUAACACUCAAUUAGCUCCUUAUCAAAUUAUUUUUUUUGAGGAAGGGGUGGUACUGGGGAUUGAACCCAAGGCCUUGUACAUGUCAACUAUGUGUGCUAUACCACUGAUCUACACCUCCAACCCCCUAUUGAAUUCUUUAAUAGAUCCUUUUUUUUUUUAAUUUCAGACUUUUUCCCCAGAGAGCUCUUUAUUGAGAUGACAAGAGCCUUACCACACAGACAUUUUCCAUACCCUAUUAGUUGGAAAGGACGUGGGCCAAUGUCAGGCAGCAGGAGGGGCUGGCUCUGAAGCUUCUUUCAUAAUUUGCUUCACAGCAGAGAAUAGAAGUACAGAUUUUGGUAUCCUAGUGGUUGAAUCACUUAAUACAGUAGGUUUGUAUAAUGAAUAUCUUAUCCCACUUUCUGGAGUUGGAAUCCUUUAUCUGGAUAACUUGGUCUGGUAUUAUUUUCUAAGAAGUACCUUAUGGUUUUUGGAUCCCUGUAUAAUACUUUGAUCCCUGGAAAACAAGAAAUGGAUCCUUGGUGUUUGCCAGGGGAAGUAGCAAGCUCUUUUUUCCUAACAGCCAUUGGGCUCUUCAAAUUCAACAAGCAGCUAAAGGUUCAACUCCAGAUCUUUCUGGUCUUGUAGGAAAGAUUGGGUCAACAGUGAGUCCCAUGGAAGAAUGGUAGUGGUAGCUGCUGGGCACUCAUGGCUCACAUCCAUAAUCCUAGCUACUCUGGAGGCAGAGAUUAAGAGGAUUGCAGUUUGAAGCCAGCCUAGGAAAAUUGUUUGUGAGACCCUAUCUUUGAAAACCCCUAACACAAAAACAGGUGGAGUGGCUCAAGAUGUAGUCCCUGAGUUCAAACCCCAGUACUGGGAAAAAAAAAAAUGACACUGGUAGCAUUGGUAAAAGGAACUCAGUAUGACUGCAAGAUUUUUCUGACAGGGUUGAGUAUCU